CCUACGGGAGGCUGCAGUGGGGAAUAUUGCACAAUGGGGGCCACCCUGAUGCAGCGACGCCGCGUGCGUGCAGAAGUAUUUCGGUAUGUACAGCUCUAUCAGCAGGGAAGAAGAUAGCCAGUACCUGACUAAGAAGCCCCGGCUAAAUACGUGCAAGCAGCCGCGGUAAUACGUAGGGGGCAAGCGUUAUCCGGUUUUACUGGGUGUAAAGGGACCGUAGACGGCUGUGCAAGUCUGAAGUGAAUGCCCAGGGCUCAACCCUGGGACUGCUUUGGAAACUGUGGAGCUAGAGUGCUGUAGAGGUAAGUGGAAUUCCUAGUGGAGCGGUGAAAUGCGUAGAUAUUAGGAGGAACACCAGUGGCGAAGGCGGCUUACUGGACAGUAACUGACGUUGAGGCUCGAAAGCGUGGGGAGCAAACAGGAUUAGAUACCCCGGUAGUC
rnacentral:rRNA from 1 species